rnacentral:rRNA from 1 species
AAGUCGUGGGGGCACCCUGACCGCAAUGCCGCGUGAGUGAAGAAGGCCUUCGGGUUGUAAAGCUCUUUUGUCAGGGAAGAAACACCGGCUCUAACACAGUCCGGGAAUGACGGUACCUGAAGAAUAAGCACCGGCUAACUACGUGCCAGCAGCCGCGGUAAUACGUAGGGUGCGAGCGUUAAUCGGAAUUACUGGGCGUAAAGCGUGCGCAGGCGGUUAUACAAGACAGGCGUGAAAUCCCCGGGCUUAACCUGGGAAUGGCGCCUGUGACUGUAUAGCUAGAGUGUGUCAGAGGGGGGUAGAAUUCCACGUGUAGCAGUGAAAUGCGUAGAUGUGUGGAGGAAUACCAAUGGCGAAGGCAGCCCCCUGGGAUAACACUGACGCUCAUGCACGAAA